rnacentral:rRNA from 1 species
GUGGGGAAUAUUGGGCAAUGGAGGAAACUCUGACCCAGCGACGCCGCGUGCGGGAUGAAGGCCUUCGGGUUGUAAACCGCUUUCAGUAGGGAAGAAGCGAAAGUGACGGUACCUACAAAAGAAGCACCGGCUAACUAUGUGCCAGCAGCCGCGGUAAUACAUAGGGUGCAAGCGUUGUCCGGAAUUAUUGGGCGUAAAGAGCUCGUAGGUCGUUUGUUACGUCGGAUGUGAAAACCUGAGGCUCAACCUCAGGCCUGCAUUCGAUACGGGCAAACUAGAGUUUGGUAGGGGAGACUGGAAUUCCUGGUGUAGCGGUGGAAUGCGCAGAUAUCAGGAGGAACACCAAUGGCGAAGGCAGGUCUCUGGGCCAAUACUGACACUGAGGAGCGAAAGUCUGGGGAGCGAACAGGAUUAGAUACCCGAGUAGUCC